rnacentral:pre_miRNA from 1 species
AACCUAUGCAACCACUAAUUAAGGCAACAAGAUUUAGAUCUAACGUCUGAGUUUUUUCCACUUAAAUCACUCCAUCUGUGGGUUUAAAUCUAACUCGUGUGUAUCCAGAUGAGAGGGUUUAAGUGAAAAAAAAACCUCAGACGUUGGAUCUAGAUCCUAUGACCUUAAUUGAUGGUUGCAUAGGUU